GCCCUGUAGCUCAGUUGGUAGAGCGUCGAUCUAGUAAUUCGAAGAUCACGGGUUCAAGACCCGGCCGCGGCA
rnacentral:tRNA from 1 species